rnacentral:rRNA from 1 species
AACGAACGCUGGCGGCAUGCCUAACACAUGCAAGUCGAACGAGACCUUCGGGUCUAGUGGCGCACGGGUGCGUAACGCGUGGGAACCUGCCCUUAGGUUCGGAAUAACUCCCCGAAAGGGGUGCUAAUACCGGAUAAUGUCUUCGGACCAAAGAUUUAUCGCCUUUGGAUGGGCCCGCGUUGGAUUAGCUAGUUGGUAGGGUAAAAGCCUACCAAGGCGACGAUCCAUAGCUGGUCUGAGAGGAUGAUCAGCCACACUGGGACUGAGACACGGCCCAGACUCCUACGGGAGGCAGCAGUGGGGAAUAUUGGGCAAUGGGCGAAAGCCUGAUCCAGCAAUGCCGCGUGAGUGAUGAAGGCCUCAGGGUUGUAAAGCUCUUUUACCCGGGAUGAUAAUGACAGUACCGGGAGAAUAAGCUCCGGCUAACUCCGUG